GAUGUUGAACUAGCAGAGGGCAGACGCCCGAGAUGUACAUCAAACGUGUAUGUUAAUCGCAGUUAGUAUCGGAGUAUAAGUGCAUUUCACCGUGGUGAAUGCAGAGUUUGCCAUUCUAGGUUAAGGACUUUGAAACAUCAGAAGAAACCCGUGGAUAGGACCAGGAGGCUAUCCUUGGACUUUUUCCCCCUUGUUACGUGGCUAAGUAAAGAAGCAUCCAGAAGUCGCCAUCAAAUCGUGGAUUUGAUGUCGGAGGCCGAAAUCGUUGCAGGAUGCCCUCGUCGUUCUCACAAAUGAUUCCCUCAAGGGCUGGGAGUUCCGGCAGAAUCCCCUCUCGUGAUUGGCUGACACCGGAGUCUUGGCUUACAACAUGGCAACUGCAGGUUGGACCCUAACAUCAGCUGAUGGCUUAAAAGGCAGUCCAUGAAAGCUACACAGGGGCAGCAGCUGAGCAGCAGCAGAGUGCAUGACAGUACGGCCUCAGUCUUCAACCCCCCCGUAAAUACUUUCUUUUGAUUUGUGAAGCAGAAGGGGUGAGCUGCCAUUUUCUUUGCACUGAUUUCUCCUGUUUUGGUGCUAGAGAGUUAGGGUUAGUGAUUGUUUUUUGUUUGUUUUUGUUUUUGUAGGGUUUAGGUAGCACUUACUUGGGGAACAAGAUGUUUUGAUUGUUAUUUUGUUUGGCCUUGGCUCACCCCAGAGCCCAAGCUUCUGUUAUUUUCUAGUUUUUGGCAUGGAUUGUGCUUAGUGUCAAGAUCAGCGUUCUUUACUUGCAGCUUUUCAAGAAGCUGGUCACUGUGUUCCAAUGAUCCUACAAUGACAGGAGAAGCAUUUGGAAUACAUAUUUCUCUCUUGUGGCUUCCCCACUUUCCAGUUGUGCAGCUCUGUAUUUGAGUCUUAUAAGGCAAUGUUUUUGAUAUGUUCUUAAAGUUAUAGACUACAUGGGCUUGAUGUUUCAAAGGACCACACACUGAAUGUAAUCUCAUACAACGAAGGGGGAAAAAGGUUAUUAAAUGAAAUUGAAAUGGAGAGACUUGCUUAAUGGAGGUCAAAUUGUUUGCUAAAUUGUGAGUGGAUUGUGAGAGAGUUAUAGACUGUGGGGUUAGAAGAGGUACGAUUAAGAGGUGGAUGUAAGGAUGUACCAAUUAAAACGACAAAGGGGUGCAGAGGAGCUUUUCUAUCUCCACCCAAAUAAGACCACCAUCACUGGAGCUGUAGUGCACCCAAAAGGACAGACAAUGCAGAUUACAUGCCCAUUAAUGGUGCCGGAUAUUGGGGAGAGCCAGACCACCUUGCUUUGGUUUUUGCAGGUGGGCUUUCUUUAGACGAGGCUUUUUACCAUUCCAAA